CCAAGCUACAGGGGCAGGAGAGAGUGGGAAAAACAUCAGUUGAGUUUUUGACAAGAAACAAAGCUUUCUGAAAACUUGCACGUGCAGCCCAGGCCUCGAGGGACAAACUCGUGGCCCUGUUUUGAGCCAAUGGUGGCGCCAACCUAGGACACUGGGGCCCACGCAGUGCACAUCUGUCUAGUGUUCCUGCUGUCCUGAGGAGCAGAGGUGGAAGGUUCAGGAACAGAAGGGCAGACGUGGACUGUGAAGACGUUAGGCCUCUGUUUGAAUCCCACAUCUUCCUUCCAUGCCUGUGUGUCCUUCAUCAAGACGCGUGACCCCUGAGAGCCUUGUGUUCUUAAAUGUAAACCAGGAAUAAUUAUGCCUACCUGGAAGGUUGUGCUGAGGUUUCCAUCAACGACACCGAUGGAUGAGGUUGAACCAUAUGAAACUGCCAUUUCUGAAGGUCAUAAAGGGUUGAACACUGACAGUUUCAGACGCUUCAUGCUACCGUGUAAAGUACGUGGCACAUUUGAAUAGCGCCCAAAUUGGGUUAAACAUUUACACAGUGAGUCUCAAAACUUAGUAAGUGUAGGAGGUGGGGAGCGGGCAUGAGGAGUGCGUGCAGAAUGUCUGAUUCUGAAGAUCUGUGCGGGGCGUAGGACUCCGCAUUUGAACAAACUUGCAAUCCCUCACUCCAGGUGAUUUGGAUGCCGUGAUGCUUAGCGCUCAGCUGAACUAAGCUUUGAAAAAAAAAAACAAACAAACAGGAGAGGAGGGAGAGGACAGGCUAGAAAAUGGCAAUUCCCUCUCCCAAGCCCUUGUCGUCUUCUUCCUCUUUUUGUCCAGCCCAGUGAGGAGUGCGGUGUUACUCCCAUUUUUACGAACGAGGUGACUGAGGCCCGGAAAAGAUAAGUCCUUAUGCCUCAGCUCCUAAGUAAUGGAGCAAGGUCUUGGAUCCAGGGCUCCUAACUCUGGCUCACAUUUUUCUUACCAUGUAACUCAGAGACCGCCUGGUUUAACCUUGCUGCCUCCACUAACCAUUGGACAGAUGGAUAUCCCACCUCUGCCUGAACAUCCAGCGUGGCCCGUUCCGUGCUGGACAGCCAAAAUUUAGUGUUAACAAAAUAGUGACCGUUUUUGAGCCCCUGCUGUGCACCAAA